UUUUUUGAUUAAAAUUGAUUUUUGAGUAGUAAUAGGGUUCUUGAAACUAAUAGGGUUUGGCGGUAUUUAAGUCUACCCAGAGGAAUCUGUGCACAGUUCGACGGUCCCCGCUUUAUCUUACCCAGGGGUACGAUUAUACAUGUAUAUCGCUGUCAUCAGAAUAAUUUUUAGAAUAUUUUCAAGGAGUUUGUAAGAGAGUAUGUCAAGUCAAGGUGCAGUUGUAUCUGGGGGUGCAUGGUUUACAAUUUCUGUAGGAAUUAAUGGAUUGUCGUCUGUAAGGGGGGCAUGAAGGUGGAUUUGGUUGUAUUUUACCAUUAGAAGGGGUGAAAGAAUGAGUACUGAAAUAUGC
rnacentral:rRNA from 1 species